rnacentral:rRNA from 1 species
CGCGUGAGGAACCUGCCUCAAAGAGGGGGACAACAGUUGGAAACGACUGCUAAUACCGCAUAAGCCCACGGCUCGGCAUCGAGCAGAGGGAAAAGGAGCAAUCCGCUUUGAGAUGGCCUCGCGUCCGAUUAGCUAGUUGGUGAGGUAAUGGCCCACCAAGGCGACGAUCGGUAGCCGGACUGAGAGGUUGAACGGCCACAUUGGGACUGAGACACGGCCCAG